rnacentral:rRNA from 1 species
UACGGAGGGAGCUAGCGUUGUUCGGAAUUACUGGGCGUAAAGCGCACGUAGGCGGCUUUGCAAGUUAGAGGUGAAAGCCCGGGGCUCAACCCCGGAAUUGCCUUUAAGACUGCAUCGCUAGAAUCCGGGAGAGGUGAGUGGAAUUCCGAGUGUAGAGGUGAAAUUCGUAGAUAUUCGGAAGAACACCAGUGGCGAAGGCGGCUCACUGGACCGGCAUUGACGCUGAGGUGCGAAAGCGUGGGGAGCAAACGGG